rnacentral:lncRNA from 1 species
GGGCAAGGUCCUCACCAUCUCCCCGCUCCCCAGCCGAAAGCAAGGAGUGCUGACCCCGCUCGCUGUCCUGGCAACGGGCGACGGCUCCCGCGUCUGGAAAAUGCGUGGAAGAGGCAGGGAAUUGUGAAUUUUAGAUGACGCGUUGCGAUGGCACGGCGGACCUCGGCGCGGAAGGUUUCCCAUGGAAAAUCAGGCGCAGUGGCUGUGCUACCGCCAGGCUGUCAGCUGCAGGCUUCAGGGGCGUUAGGUGAGCAAUUUCUUGCCGCUCCAAGCGAGCUGGGCCCAUAAACGCCAUCAGGAGUCAUUUGUCUGGAAACCCCUUGCAAAUUUGGAAAGAUUUUUCCAGACGUUUGUGAAAUACACUCGGUGACCUUACGCACGCAUUCUUACAUCUGACAUGCUAAAGAAGAUGAAUAUUCAUUUGUCUAAAUGGUAUUUUCAUAUAUGUAAGUCAUUACGAUACGUUCAAUAAACGUUUUGAUGUACUGACUAACAGCAGAACUAAGCAAACAAUUUGUAUGACAGGCAUUGAGAUAGACUAGCAAUCAGGAUUGAUUUCUAUAUUGACAUUGAUAUAAAGAGUAUCUGUAUCAUUUAAUUUUAGCAGUGGCUGAUGCAUAACAAGCUUUUUUUUUUUUCCCCUAAAAUAACAUUUUGUUUGUUUUUGUUUUGUUUUUCAUGUAUAACUGUUUCAAAACACAGGAAGUGGUUCUCAGGUGUGCAUAAACUUCAGUGCCGCCUUGGGUGCUUCCCUGCGCGGAGAUCGCUCCCAUCUCAGCGCUCGCCUUGCCAGAGGAAAGCUUGGAGCAGCCGUGUUUCAGAGCAAGCAGCGAGCCAGGAGACCGUUCUUCUUCCCCAGACAGGUGCACCCAAAAAAUGCCGCUCAGGGAGCACCCACGGCUUCACCAGCGGCUCCCGGGGGGGCUCCCGGGGGUGUCCCGGGGCCCGUCGCGGGUGCGUGCUGCCCCCCGCUGGCUGCGGAGGAACUGCGGGGCGGGCACCCCGCGGGUGGAGAAGAGAUGCUCCGGGGGGAAAGGCAGCCUUCUGGAGCUACCUGGAGGCUAAACAAUGCUGGUUUAUUAUUAGUAUUAUUAUUUUAAAGAAAAAAAGCUUGAUAGAACAUCACUGA